rnacentral:rRNA from 1 species
GACGAACGCUGGCGGCGUGCUUAACACAUGCAAGUCGAACGGAAAGGCCCUGCUUUUGUGGGGUGCUCGAGUGGCGAACGGGUGAGUAACACGUGAGUAACCUGCCCUUGACUUUGGGAUAACUUCAGGAAACUGGGGCUCAUACCGGAUAGGAGCUCCUGCUGCAUGGUGGGGGUUGGAAAGUUUCGGCGGUUGGGGAUGGACUCGCGGCUUAUCAGCUUGUUGGUGGGGUAGUGGCUUACCAAGGCUUUGACGGGUAGCCGGCCUGAGAGGGGGACCGGCCACAGUGGGACUGAGAUACGGCCCAGAGUCCUACGGGAGGCAGCAGUGUGGAAGAUUGCACGAUGGGCGGAAGCCGGAUGCAGCAACGCCGCGUGCGGGAUGACGGCCUUCGGGUUGUAAACCGCUUUCGCCUGUGACGAAGCGUGAGUGACGGUAAUGGGUAAAGAAGCACCGGCUAACUACGUG